UACAGAGGUCCCAAGCGUUGUUCGGAUUCACUGGGCGUAAAGCGCGCGUAGGUGGCCCCAUAAGUCCGCUGUGAAAGUCAAAGGCUCAACCUUUGAAAGCCGGUGGAUACUGUGGGACUAGAGUACGGAAGAGGCGAGUGGAAUUCCUGGUGUAGCGGUGGAAUGCGCAGAUAUCAGGAGGAACACCAAUAGCGAAGGCAGCUCGCUGGGACGUUACUGACACUGAGGCGCGAAAGCGUGGGGAGCAAACAGG
rnacentral:rRNA from 1 species